GUGGGCUCUGACCCAGCUGGCCUUUUCUUGGUGUUGGAGGCCGCCUCUUCCAAGGUUGCUGCACAGGUGGCUGGAGGUGGCACAGUGUGUCGGAUGGGCGGUGGUGUGCAUAUCCAGUUUCCCCAACUGACCAGAUCCCAGGUGAUCUAGGCUGAGGUCCUCAGUGCAACAAUAUGGUUCUGGAUUCUCUGGUGCUUUUGUCAUGAGACUCAGAUGCUGUGCUGGGUCACUUUCUAUAUCCAGAGUCUUCCCAGUGGACAGAUGUAGAAUUAGGCAUCCUUCCUAAUGAUGAAGA
rnacentral:lncRNA from 1 species